rnacentral:rRNA from 1 species
GGGAAACUGAGAGCAAUACCGGAUAAGCCCUACGGGGGAAAGAUUUAUCGCCGAAAGAGCGGCCCGCGUUAGAUUAGCUAGUUGGUGGGGUAAAGGCCUACCAAGGCUACGAUCUAUAGCUGGUCUGAGAGGAUGAUCAGCCACAUUGGGACUGAGACACGGCCCAAACUCCUACGGGAGGCAGCAGUGGGGAAUCUUGGACAAUUGGCGCAAGCCUGAUCCAGCCAUGCCGCGUGGAUGAU